UUUUAGCCAAGCAUUUAACAAAUAUUUUACCGAAUCCGAGAUAAGAAAAUUGUUAAAAAGAUACUUUCCUUUUUAAAAAAAUGCGAUUAAAACACUGGAAAGAUUACAUCUAUGACGUAGAACUCGUGACGUGAAGCGUGACGCAUUGCAACGUUCGACGAAUUCGAAUUCGUUCCAUUUCGUAUUGCCUUCGCCAUCUUGGAAUAUAACGUUCUUCGGAAAUUACGAUUAACUCAGUAAUGAAUAAAUAUAUACUAAUAAGACAGUAAGAAAUAACAUAUUAUUUUCCAUAUUUUCAAACCGAAUAAAGAUUAUCUACAAAAUCGUCGAGUCGCACGAGGGCAUACGUUAGCCCUCGGCGACGUCGUGAAGACCGAAGUGGGAUUAUCUACAGUUACGUCGAGUCGCACGAGGGCAUACGUUAGCCCUCGGCGAUGUCGUGAAGGUGGGCAAGGGAUUAUUAAUAUACAAUAUUAUUAUUCGAAUAUGUUUCGAUCCAAGGAUCGCAAUUUUAAUAAUACUGGUUUAAACAAAUGCUUUCAUAAUGUAACAGAUGAAUUUGACAUUGGUAUUGGAAAUAAAUAGUUUUAUAUUUAUAAUAGUAAAAGCAAUUAGUUAAACUAAGCAAUAAUCUAAUGUACUACAUGUGCUUUGUAUUUUCAAAUGAAUAAUCAUUAUUAUUUGUUCUUUUAUGAGAAAUAAAUAAAAAUUCAAAAUA